UACAGAGGGUGCGAGCGUUGUCCGGAAUCACUGGGCGUAAAGGGCGCGUAGGUGGUGGCUUAAGCGUGCGGUGAAAGCUCGGGGCUCAACUCCGAGUCGGCCGUGCGAACUGGGCUCACUGGAGCAUAGUAGAGGCAGGUGGAAUUCCGGGUGUAGCGGUGGAAUGCGUAGAGAUCCGGAAGAACACCGGUGGCGAAGGCGGCCUGCUGGGCAGUGGCUGACGCUGAGGCGCGACAGCGUGGGGAGCAAACAGG
rnacentral:rRNA from 1 species